rnacentral:rRNA from 1 species
UACGGAGGGGGGCUAGCGUUGUUCGGGAAUUACUGGGCGUAAAGCGCACGUAGGCGGCUUUGCAAGUUAGAGGUGAAAGCCCGGGGGCUCAACUCCGGGAAAUUGCCUUUAAAACUGCAUCGCUAGAAUUGUGGAGAGGUAAGUGGAAUUCCGAGUGUAGAGGUGAAAUUCGUAGAUAUUCGGAAGAACACCAGUGGCGAAGGCGACUUACUGGACACAUAUUGACGCUGAGGUGCGAAAGCGUGGGGAGCAAACAGG